rnacentral:lncRNA from 1 species
CUUUAAUUGUUUGUUAGAAUUCGCCCAGUGAAGCCAUUUACUCCUGGGAUUUAUUUGUUGAGAGGUUUUAUGAUUACUGAUUGUAAUGGGAAAAAACGCAGUUUUCCUCUUUCCUAUGCUGGGAAAAAUACCAGCUUUUCCCUACUGUCUUUCUUUCCUGUGAGUCUCCUUUAUGACUCACAGAAAUCAUUUCACUUCUGGUCCCCAAAUGUGUGGAGGUUUCUCCCCACAAGAACAAGCAGUUCUCAGACAGCAGCAAGGUGUCCAAGAAUUCAACUCAGUUCUGACACUAUCUACCCAGGACAGCACCAGAUCACACAGGAUAUGAUAAAGGAUGCAGAUGAACAGCCAGAUGAAGAGAUGCAUGCGGCGAGGUCUGGGAUGAUCCUGAGUGCAGGAGCUUCUGUCCUCAAGGAGUUGGGGUGUGUCACCCCCCAUGUGGUUGUUCACCCACCUGGAAGUUCUCUGAACCCCCUAUUAUUGGGAUUUUAUGGAGGCUUCCUCAUGGGCCUGCCCGGUGGCUCAGCAGUUAAAUGCAUACCUUCUGCUUUGGCGGCCUGGGAUUCACCGGUUCAGAUCCAGGUGUGGACAAGGCACCGCUUGGCAAGCCAUGGUGUGCCUCCCGGCACAUAGCCGUAGAUUCUUCGCUGUGGGUCCCUCCAGCUGCGGCAUGCGGGACGCUGCCCCAGCGCGGCCCGAUGAGCAGUGCCAUGUCCGCAACCAGGACCCGAACAAACGAAACACUGGGCCGCCUGCAGCGGAGUAUGUGAACUCAACCACUCGGGCACGGGGCUAGCCCCCAGGUGUAGUUUUUAAUACAUAUUUCUGUUGUUAGGUUGAAUUUUAUUUAGGUGUCCUUUAGGUCUAGUUAGUAUUGUUCAACUCUUCCAUUUGCUUGUUGAUCUUCUGUCUCUUUAUUUUACAUUGUUGAAAUGAGAUACUGAAGCUUCCAAUUAUUAUUUUUAAAUUUUAAAUUUCUUCCUUUGUUUCUGUCAACUUUUACCUCAUAUAUUUUGGCAUUCUUUUGUUAGGAAUAUAUACUGUUAUAAGUGUUUUCUUUUCCUGGUAGAUUGACACUACUAUUAUUAUAAACUGUCCUGCUUUUCCAUAAUAACAAUUUUUGUCUUAAUGUCUAUCUUGUUUCAUAUCACUGUAGCUAUCCCAGGUGUCUUUUAGACAUUAUUUGCAUGGUAUAACUUUUCCACUUUUUAUUUCAACUAAUUUUAGUCUGUGAAUGCAGGGUGCAUCUCUUCUAGAAAGCAUAUAGUUGGAUCAAGUUAUUUUUUCUCAUCCAUCUGCCAAUCUCUGUCUUCUAAUUGGAGUGUUUAAUCUAUUUACAUUUAAGGUAGCUACCAAUGAUGUAUGGUUUAUAUUAGCAAAUUUGCAAUAUGUUUUCUAUAUGUCUUAUUUUUCUUAUUCCUUUGUUCCUCCAUUACUGCCUUCUUUUGUGCUAAUGGCUUUCUAGUGGAUAAUUUUAAUUAGUUAUUUUCUUAGUGUUUGCCAAUGGUGUUAUUAACAUCUCAACUUACAAAAAUCUAGUUUAGAUUAACAUCAAAUUAAUUUCAAUAGUAUAUGAAAACUUUUCUACUCUAUAGCUCCAUUCUCUUUUCCUUUUUUGUGCUAUUAUUAUUACACAAAUUACAUCUUUAUUCCUUAUAAAACAUCAAUAUUAUAUUAUAAUUAUUGAUUUAUGAAAUUGUCAUUAUAAUCAGAUUGGAAAA